rnacentral:rRNA from 1 species
UGGAGCUGAAAUCAGUCGAAGAUACCAGCUGGCUGCAACUGUUUAUUAAAAACACAGCACUGUGCAAACACGAAAGUGGACGUAUACGGUGUGACGCCUGCCCGGUGCCGGAAGGUUAAUUGAUGGGGUUAUCCUCACGGAGAAGCUCUUGAUCGAAGCCCCGGUAAACGGCGGCCGUAACUAUAACGGUCCUAAGGUAGCGAAAUUCCUUGUCGGGUAAGUUCCGACCUGCACGAAUGGCGUAAUGAUGGCCAGGCUGUCUCCACCCGAGACUCAGUGAAAUUGAACUCGCUGUGAAGAUGCAGUGUACCCGCGGCAAGACGGAAAGACCCCGUGAACCUUUACUAUAGCUUGACACUGAACACUGGUCCUUGAUGUGUAGGAUAGGUGGGAGGCUUUGAAGUGUGGACGCCAGUCUGCAUGGAGCCGUCCUUGAAAUACCACCCUUUAAUGGCUGGUGUUCUAACGUGGGCCCGUAAUCCGGGUUGCGGACAGUGUCUGGUGGGUAGUUUGACUGGGGCGGUCUCCUCCUAAAGAGUAACGGAGGAGCACGAAGGUCAGCUAAUCCUGGUCGGACAUCAGGAGGUUAGUGCAAUGGCAUAAGCUGGCUUGACUGCGAGCGUGACGGCGCGAGCAGGUGCGAAAGCAGGUCAUAGUGAUCCGGUGGUUCUGAAUGGAAGGGCCAUCGCUCAACGGAUAAAAGGUACUCCGGGGAUAACAGGCUGAUACCGCCCAAGAGUUCAUAUCGACGGCGGUGUUUGGCACCUCGAUGUCGGCUCAUCACAUCCUGGGGCUGAAGUAGGUCCCAAGGGUAUGGCUGUUCGCCAUUUAAAGUGGUACGCGAGCUGGGUUUAGAACGUCGUGAGACAGUUCGGUCCCUAUCUGCCGUGGGCGCUGGAGAAUUGAGGGGGGCUGCUCCUAGUACGAGAGGACCGGAGUGGACGCAUCACUGGUGUUCGGGUUGUCAUGCCAAUGGCAUUGCCCGGUAGCUAAAUGCGGAAGAGAUAAGUGCUGAAAGCAUCUAAGCACGAAACUUGCCCCGAGAUGAGUUCUCCCUGACUCCUUGAGAGUCCUGAAGGAACGUUGAAGACGACGACGUUGAUAGGCCGGGUGUGUAAGCGCAGCGAUGCGUUGAGCUAACCGGUACUAAUGAACCGUGAGGCUUAACCUU